AUGUUACUCCCUCCGUCCGAAAAUACUUGUCAUCAAAAUGGAUAAAAUGAGAUGUAUCUAGAACUAAAAUACGUCUAGAUACAUCCUCUUUUAUCCAUUUUGAUGACAAGUAUUUCCGGAUGGAGGGAGUACAAU
rnacentral:pre_miRNA from 1 species